AUGAAAAUACUAAGCUGGAACUGUCGAGGGCUGGGUCGACCUUGUACAGUUCAAGAAUUAGUUUGCCUCAACAAGUCUUACCGACCCAACAUUGUUUUUCUUUCUGAAACUAGGAAAAAUAAAGAUUAUGUUGAGAGUUUGCGGUAUCGUUUGGGUAUGAAAAAUGUUUUUACAGUUUCGGGUAAAGGCAAAGGCGGUGGCUUAGUGGCUUUUUGGGAUGAGUGCUUCUCUGUGGACUUAAACAAAUUUGGUGAUCAUUUUAUUGACUUGUAUAUUUGCAAGAGUGGUGGACCAAAAUGGAGGUGCACUUUGGUUUAUGGUGAACUGAAGGCGAGUCAAAGGCACAUAAUGUGGGAGCUUUUGAGACAGAUUAAAUCUCUUGGUUCUGGUCCUUGGUUUAUGGUCAGAGAUUUUAAUGAAGCUAUGUGGCAAUAUGAGCAUUUCUCACGUAAUACAAGAUCACCUAAACUCAUGGCAAACUUCCGGGAGGUUCUCUCGGAGUGCAACCUAUUUGAUCUAGGGUUUUAUGGUGUGCCUUGGACGUAUGAUAAUAAGCAAGAAGUAAAUCGAAAUGUGAAUGUGUGA
rnacentral:rRNA from 1 species